rnacentral:rRNA from 1 species
AGUGAACGCUGGCGGUAGGCCUAACACAUGCAAGUCGAACGGUAACAGGUCUUCGGAUGCUGACGAGUGGCGAACGGGUGAGUAAUACAUCGGAACGUGCCUAGUAGUGGGGGAUAACUACUCGAAAGAGUGGCUAAUACCGCAUGAGAUCUACGGAUGAAAGCAGGGGAUCGCAAGACCUUGUGCUACUAGAGCGGCCGAUGACAGAUUAGGUAGUUGGUGGGAUAAAAGCUUACCAAGCCGACGAUCUGUAGCUGGUCUGAGAGGACGAUCAGCCACACUGGGACUGAGAAACGGCCCAGACUCCUAUGGGAGGCAGCAGUGGGGAAUUUUGGACAAUGGGCGCAAGCCUGAUCCAGCAAUGCCGCGUGCAGGAUGAAGGCCUUCGGGUUGUAAACUGCUUUUGUACGGAACGAAAAGCCCCGGGUUAAUACCCUGGGGUCAUGACGGUACCGUAAGAAUAAGCACCGGCUAACUACGUGCCAGCCGCCGCAGUAA